rnacentral:rRNA from 1 species
UCUGUAGGUGGUUUAAUAAGUCAACUGUUAAAUCUUGAGGCUCAACCUCAAAAUCGCAGUCGAAACUAUUAGACUAGAGUAUAGUAGGGGUAAAGGGAAUUUCCAGUGGAGCGGUGAAAUGCGUAGAUAUUGGAAGGAACACCGAUGGCGAAGGCACUUUACUGGGCUAUUACUAACACUCAGAGACGAAAGCCAGGGUAGCAAAUG